UCACUGCUUGCGCAGGCAGUCUCUUUAGAGUCCCCACCAUAAUGUGCUGGCAACUAAAGAUAGGGGUUGCGCUCGUUGCAGGACUUAACCUGACACCUCACGGCACGAGCUGACGACAACCAUGCAGCACCUUGAAGAGUGUCCGAAGAAAAGCAUGUUUCCACGCCUGUCACUCCCCAUUUAAGCCUUGGUAAGGUUCCUCGCGCAUCAUCGAAUUAAACCACAUGCUCCACCGCUUGUGCGGGC
rnacentral:misc_RNA from 1 species